CUCUCUUGAUCUCUCUCCUUGCCCUCCCCAGCUCUCUCUCUCUCUCUCUUGAUCACAAAAAAAUGCCAAAAUGCCUAGCAAAAAUGGAAGUGUUCUCCUGCACAAGGAAUUUUUUCUUUUUUGGGUGAGAUUUUAAUAACUUUAUUUGGGUAAGAUUUUAGAUCUUUCUUUUUUGUUGAAAGAUAUGAGAGUUUGGUAACUUUCUGUAUUUUUGUUUUUUGGGUGCGAUUUUGGUAGGAUUUAUUUUUACUUGAGAUAGUCUCCUCUCUCUCUCCUUGCCAAGGCCGCCAUUUCUUUUUGGCAUUUUUUUUACAGAUAGACACCUUAGUUUGUACCUCGAGAAAACCUUAAUUUUCACCUUCAUGUGAUCCCAGCUAUGGAUAUCUCCGAUCACACCAGACUUGAAGAAUUAGGAUCAAGAAUUGGGAGAUUCACAGCAUACCCAGCAUAUUUGGAAUGGGGAACUAUAUAGGGCAGUGAGAGUAGAGCCUCUGGUUUGAAGUGCGGUGAUGAAGGUAUUUGGUUUCAAAGCCAUGAAGUGAAAGGCAUGAGAGCAUCUUGCCCAUGUAUUUUCAAGGCCAAAAAAUAUUCUUGAUAGAAACAAAGAGAGAUGGAACAAUGUUGUAAUCAAAUACGAAUUUGAAUUUUAUGCAAGCAAUGCUAAUGGAGAUCUCACUCUCUCUUAAAUUUUAAAACAAUUGAUGUAUUUUAUCUUGUGCCUACAUGAAUAAAAUUUUUCUUAUUCAA